GGGCAGGAUCGAGUUGAAGACAAAAGGCACUAUUUACUCAAUUUUUGGCGAGGCAAUCGCGACGGCGCGCGCUCAGUGGUGAGGCGAUCUGAACUUACAAGCACAAGAUGUCAGCAACAGCAGCUGAAGUGGAAAAAAGUUCUACACUUCCAGACUCUCUGAGACUGAUUUGUCUUAGGUAAUGUACGUUCCAGAAUCUUUAAAUUACUUAAUACAUUUUGCCUGUUGUAUUUUAGCAUACAUUUUUAUAAACUGUUUUCUUUUUUCUCUUCAUUUGUUUUAUUUUUAGGUGAAAUUCUCACUGCAACCCAGUGGAUGCUGAGUAUUGAGGGUCAAGUGGUUCUGAAUCAACACCCCGAUUUCAUGGCUGAAUUUGCUGCUUUGUUUGCAACUUACUAGAACUUUAAUCUGGUGUACCAGCAGCACGAGGCAUCCUGCACACUUGAAUUUGUCCAAAGAUGUUUACCAAGAACAUCAAUGAAAGUGGAAAGACCUCAGAGAAGAGGAACAACACAGUCAAUCCUCACGUGUCUACUCUUUUCAUUGGGCUACCCUGUGGAC